GGGAGCUUGCUCCCUGAUGUUAGCGGCGGACGGGUGAGUAACACGUGGGUAACCUGCCUGUAAGACUGGGAUAACUCCGGGAAACCGGGGCUAAUACCGGAUGGUUGUUUGAACCGCAUGGUUCAGACAUAAAAGGUGGCUUCGGCUACCACUUACAGAUGGACCCGCGGCGCAUUAGCUAGUUGGUGAGGUAACGGCUCACCAAGGCGACGAUGCGUAGCCGACCUGAGAGGGUGAUCGGCCACACUGGGACUGAGACACGGCCCAGACUCCUACGGGAGGCAGCAGUAGGGAAUCUUCCGCAAUGGACGAAAGUCUGACGGAGCAACGCCGCGUGAGUGAUGAAGGUUUUCGGAUCGUAAAGCUCUGUUGUUAGGGAAGAACAAGUGCCGUUCAAAUAGGGCGGCACCUUGACGGUACCUAACCAGAAAGCCACGGCUAACUACGUGCCAGCAGCCGCGGUAAUACGUAGGUGGCAAGCGUUGUCCGGAAUUAUUGGGCGUAAAGGGCUCGCAGGCGGUUUCUUAAGUCUGAUGUGAAAGCCCCCGGCUCAACCGGGGAGGGUCAUUGGAAACUGGGGAACUUGAGUGCAGAAGAGGAGAGUGGAAUUCCACGUGUAGCGGUGAAAUGCGUAGAGAUGUGGAGGAACACCAGUGGCGAA
rnacentral:rRNA from 1 species